AUGACCAUGACCGAGACUGAGAAGGAAGCAACACUCAAGGACACAAGACUGUCAGAGGGCACCCUUGAGGUUCCAGGUAUAGCUUCGGCCACUGGACUCCCCAGUCCACGAAUCAUGAGGCGGUGAUGCGCACUGCUUCUCUUUCAAUAAAAAAAAGAACAUAUUAGGGGCUCUUGAAA